rnacentral:other from 1 species
GUCCUGCGGUGUUCGUUAUGGUUUUCUGUUGUUUUGAACCAAUGACAUGUUUCUAGGGAGCCUCAUAUUGUGGUGCAGCUGACAAGCCCUCUUCGAAGGGAUCUCAAAAGCGCGACUGCGGACACCCACCUGCGAGAGCAGGUUUGAAACACUUAAACCGGACGGCACAUGCGGGCU